rnacentral:rRNA from 1 species
AAUUAUAGAAGAUCCCCUUUAAGACCAUACAAUUCCAUCAAAUUGAGUUUGACGGUGUAUGUGAUAGCAUCUACUAUACCAAGAAUAUCAACGAACCCCAUUCCUGCAAUUGCUCAGGAUACCCUCUUUUAG